CGGGUGAGUAACGCGUGAGGAACCUGCCUCAAAGAGGGGGACAACAGUUGGAAACGACUGCUAAUACCGCAUAAGCCCACGGCUCGGCAUCGAGCAGAGGGAAAGGGAGUGAUCCGCUUUGAGAUGGCCUCGCGUCCGAUUAGCUAGUUGGUGAGGUAACGGCCCACCAAGGCGACGAUCGGUAGCCGGACUGAGAGGUUGAACGGCCACAUUGGGACUGAGACACGGCCCGG
rnacentral:rRNA from 1 species